rnacentral:rRNA from 1 species
CCUACGGGAGGCAGCAGUAGGGAAUAUUGCACAAUGGGGGAAACCCUGAAGCAGCAACGCCGCGUGGAGGAUGAAGGUUUUAGGAUUGUAAACUCCUUUCGUCAGAGAAGAUUACGUUGGUAUUUAUCGAAUAAGCACCGGCUAACUCCGUGCCAGCAGCCGCGGUAUUACGGAGGGUGCAAGCGCUACUCGGAAGCACUGGGCGUAAAGUUUGCGUAGGCGGUGUAAUAAGUCCGAUGUGAAAUCCUGUAGCUUAAAUAGAGAACUGAAUUUGAAACUGUUACUCUGGAGUGUGGGAGAGGUAGGUAGAAUUCUAGGUGUAGGGGUAAAAUGCGUAGAGAUCAAGAGGAAUACUCGUGGCGAAGGCGACCUGCUGGAACAUGACUGACGCUGAUGCGCGAAAGCGUGGGGAGCAAACAGGAUUAGAUACCCGAGUAGUC